UGUGCGGUUAAAAGCGAUUCCAUCCUCGGAAAAAAAUGUUUGUGAUAUAUUAAUAAGGUGUGUAUUAUAUAAUCUAAAAACAGGCCAAAGUUUUUCUUCAGAUGAAAUAUUUAGCAAAUUUGAUGUAUAUAUAUUUCUAUGGUUGGACAUAAGAACAAAAUAUGAUGAAUGAAGUUCCAGUGAUAGUUUGCCUUGCAUAUAAUCCGACAUCUGGUAAAAUUCAGGACCUUCCAGUUUUGAAGAUGUUACAUCUAUUACAUUAAGACAUAUUCCUUGGGCUUUUACACAUCUUUGACCUCUGACAAGUAUAACAACGGGACGAUCCCAUUUUAAGUAAUCAACCAUCGUUGUUAGACCAACCUCAAAUAAUAUUUUAUCAUUAUCGGGUAUUUCAGGAUACAAUAAUGUUAUCUUUACAUCAAUACUAAAGUUAUGUGUACGGCCAAAUGUUAAGCUUUUAUUAGCAAAAAUCCAAUCAUAAACACAGUUUGUUCUUGAUACACAUCGAUACUCAUCUUGCAGUGACUCUUGGUUUUCUUUACUUU
rnacentral:lncRNA from 1 species